rnacentral:rRNA from 1 species
AUGGCCAAAACUUUCGCCAAGGUGCUCUCAUUACGACUUGGGGCCAAGCUGGACCACUUGGUUAGCCGCAACCAAAAUGCAUUCAUCUCGAGAAGGAGCCUGCACGACAACUACGUCCUCUUCAAGCAAUCACUCAAGCUGCUGCACCGGAGCUCCGAGAAUUAUGCUCAAGCUCAACCUCACGCGCGCCUUCGACUCCCUAUCAUGGCCUUUCCUCUUUGA